rnacentral:rRNA from 1 species
UACGAAGGGGGCUAGCGUUGCUCGGAAUUACUGGGCGUAAAGGGAGCGUAGGCGGAUAGUUUAGUCAGAGGUGAAAGCCCAGGGCUCAACCUUGGAAUUGCCCUUGAUACUGGCUAUCUUGAGUACGGAAGAGGUAUGUGGAACUCCGAGUGUAGAGGUGAAAUUCGUAGAUAUUCGGAAGAACACCAGUGGCGAAGGCGACAUACUGGUCCGUUACUGACGCUGAGGCUCGAAAGCGUGGGGAGCAAACAGG